rnacentral:misc_RNA from 1 species
GAUGAAGAACGUAGUGAAAUGCGAUAAGUAAUGUGAAUUGCACAAUUCAGUGAAUCAUCGAAUCUUUGAACGCACCUUGCGCUCUUUGGUAUUCCGAAGAGCAUGCCUGUUUGAGUGUCAUGAAAAUAUCAACCUUGACUUGGGUUUUGUGCUCUAGUCUCGGCUUGGAAUUGGGUGCUUGCCGCUUUUACGAGCGGCUCACCUUAAAUGUAUUAGCUGGAUCUGUCUUUGAGACUUGGUUUGACUUGGCGUAAUAAGUAUUUCGCUAAGGACAUUCUUCGGAGUGGCCUCGUUUCUAGGACGCUUGUCCGCUUUCCAAUACAAGUUCCACCUCGUGGACAUGACUUUUUAUUAUCUGGCCUCAAAUCAGGUAGGACUACCCGCUGAACUUAAGCAUAUCAAUAAGCGGAGGA